AACCUAAGGAAAACUACAGACUCUGGAUAUCUAGCAGCUGUCGAGGGACCAGGUCGAGGGACCUGGAAGGGGUUGCUGGCUGAUGACUGGGUGCCUGCUGAGAUGGGCUCCAUAUACAGCUUAGGUGACUGAGUAGAGAUGGUGCCACCAACUGAGAUGGAUAACACAGGUGUAUUCGUGGUAAGAAAAUGUGGAAAUGGGCCGGGUGCAGUGGCUCACGCCUGUAAUCCCAGCACUUUGGGAGGCCAAGGUGGGCAGAUCACCCAAGGUCGGGAGUUCAAGACCAGUUUGACCAACAUGGAGAAACCCCGUCUCUACUGAAAAUACAAAAUUAGCUGGGCUUGGUAGCUCAUGCCUCUAAUCCCAGGUACUCGGGAGGCUGAGACAGGAGAAUCACUUGAACCAGGGAGCCGGAGGUUGUGCCAUUGUACUCCAGCCUGGGCAACAAGAGCGAAACUCCGUCUCAAAAAAAAAAAAAAGAAAGAAAAAAGAAAACGUGGAAAUGGCCAACUGCAACUGGUUGCAGGGUCUGAGAGGUGGAUGUAGAGGGACAGUUUGGGGAGGCAUCAGCAUACAGAUGGGGGUUCAAACUAUGAGAGUAGGAAAGUCAACUCUGAAACUAAGUAACGUGAGAAACAUAGUAGGUGAAGGAUAAAAUUUUAGAAGCACCAAUGUUUUAGCAGUAGGAGAGCCAGGGAAGACGUGCCCAAGAAAGGCCCCAAGAUGGAGCUCAUCAUAUAAGGAGAGUUAAGGGAGUAUGAUGGCGCUGAAGAAAAGCAGCUUCAGGAAUUGCCCAACAGUGAUGAAAGCAGCAAAAAGCUUCAAUAAGGGGAAUCCUGGGAAGAAAGUGGUAGCUGGGGCAAGGUAGUUUGUGCAUCUUCCCAACAUAACCAGGUGACAGAGUACACCCAUCAGUGCCAAAAUACAUGCAGGUGACAACAUGCCACCAAGCGCCAUGAGACCCGAGUAUGAGGCAUCUAUGCAAGGGAAACAGUGAGAAGCAACGGGAAGACUGACCUGAAACAGGAAAACCCCAAAAGGGCCACCAGGCCUCUGCUGGAAAGCCCGGCAGGCCAACCCGAGAAGAGCGGCUGAGGCUGGGAAGGAUGGGACCACUUCCAGUACAGGGAGUACAAGGGGCUGAGUGAGAUCCAAUGGGGCUAGAAGUUGAGCCCAGGAGCUCUCAGACUUGACCCUGGCUGCUCUCUGCCAGGACAGAGCCUCGCUGAGAGGACACAGCUGGCAGUGGAAUCACAGCUGGCCAGAAAAAGGAAAACUGACAUGAAG
rnacentral:lncRNA from 10 species